rnacentral:rRNA from 1 species
AGCAGCCGCGGUAAUUCCAGCUCCAAUAGCGUAUAUUAAAGUUGUCGCAGUUAAAAAGCUCGUAGUUGAAUUUCGGGGUCGGUAGAUUGGUCGUGCCUCUGGUAUGCACUGGUCUUACUGGCUCCUCCUUCCUGAUGAACCGUAAUGCCAUUAAUUUGGUGUUGCGGGGAGACUGGACUGUUACUUUGAAAGAAUUAGAGUGUUUAAAGCAGGCUAACGCUUGAAUACAUUAGCAUGGAAUAAUGAAAUAGGACGUUCGAUCUUAUUUUGUUGGUUUCUAAGAUUGACGUAAUGAUUAAUAGGGAUAGUUGGGGGCAUUAGUAUUCAAUUGUCAGAGGUGAAAUUCUUGGAUUUAU